rnacentral:rRNA from 1 species
GACGAACGCUGGCGGCGUGCUUAACACAUGCAAGUCGAACGAAGUGGCGAACGGGUGAGUAACGCGUAAUCAACCUGCCCUUCAGAGGGGGACAACAGUUGGAAACGACUGCUAAUACCGCAUACUGAAGGAGGGGAUUGCGUCUGAUUAGCUAGUUGGAGGGGUAAAGGCUCACCUAGGCGACGAUCCCUAGCUGGUCUGAGAGGAUGACCAGCCACACUGGAACUGAGACACGGUCCAGACUCCUACGGGAGGCAGCAGUGGGGAAUAUUGCACAAUGGGCGCAAGCCUGAUGCAGCCAUGCCGCGUGUAUGAAGAAGGUCUUCGGAUUGUAAAGCACUUUAAGUUGGGAGGCGUUACCAACAGAAUAAGCACCGGCUAACUUCGUGCCAGCAGCCGCGGUAAUAC